rnacentral:lncRNA from 1 species
UAUAUAUAUUAGCAACGUUUAUAAUGCUAACGAUAUAUACAGUUUAAUAAAUUUAAACAUAGGAGGUGUAGUAACAUGUUUUAACUGUACUAAUAUAUCUUGGUGUGAUUACAAUUCGUCUAAUAAAACACAAAGAGUGUUUUAUAAAAAUAAGUUUCUUUGCUGUAAACAAGAGUUUGAAAAGAAAGUGAAGUAUGGUUUGUCAACAGAAGGAAAAAACGAAAAUGUAUUAAUUAAUAAAGAAAAAAAUGCAGACAAUGAAAACGAUGUAAAAAGUGGCGAAGUAGAAAAUAACAUGAAUAAAAAUAGUAAUAGUAAUGGUAAUAGUAAUAGUAAUGGUAAUAGUAAUGGUAAUACAAAUGGAGCUGAUUCUGAAAGUAAAAGUGAACAGACAGAAAAGUCAUUAAACUUGUCUUAUAUAACACAAGGUAUGUGCUAUGAAAUUUGUAAAAAUGCUCAACCACAUUAUGAUUAUAUAAUAUACCCCCAAGAAAUAAUAAAAAAUGAAAUAGAUAAAAACACUAUUCAAAAUUAUGUCAAUUCAAUGGUAGAUCUAAUUAAUAAUCGCUCAUUUGAAUAUGACACUUCAUAUAAUAAAGAAAACGAAGGUUGUAAAAACAUAAAUGUAGAUAGUAAUUAUAAUUUAUAUGAAAAAGAAAUUAAUAAAAAAAUAGUUGAACCAACAAAUGUGCUUAGAAAAACUAAGUCAGAAGAAGAUCAAUUUUUAAGUUCUAAAAAUAAAUCAAAUAUGUCAAUUGUUUCAUCAACAAGUGGUAAUUUUAAUUUAACUGCUCAGGGCAUUAUUACUAAAGACCUUCAUGCAGAUGUCACUACAAGCUUUGUUGAUACCAAAUCAACAACAGAAACAAGUACUACUACAUCAUUACAAAGUAUUUGUGAACUGAAUAGAACACUGCAAAGAAAUUUAAAAAUUUGUUAUGAUAAUAUAUAUGUAAUGAAACAUAUUUAUUUAGAUAUAUUAGACACCCGCGAUGAGAACAUUAUACACCAUUUUGACACAGCCCAUGCUUUUAUUGAUGAUGUAAUUAAGAAUAAUAAAAAUGUGUUAGUCCAUUGUAUGGCUGGUAUAUCUCGCUGCUCUUCUAUUAUAUUAUCUUAUAUUUCAAAAAAAAAUAAAAAAGGAAUAAAACAUAAUUUUACACAAUUAAAAAACAAAUAUCCCUUCGCUAACCCUAAUGA